UACAGAGGGUGCGAGCGUUAAUCGGAAUUACUGGGCGGUAAAGCGCGCGUAGGCGGCUUUGCAAGUUCGGGUGUGAAAAUCCCCAGGCUUAACCCUGGGAACUGGCAUUCGAGACUGCAUUGCUAGAGUAUGGGAGAGGGAAGUGGAAUUUCAGGUGUAGCGGUGAAAUGCGUAGAUAUCUGAAGGAACAUCAGUGGCGAAAGCGACUUCCUGGACCAAUACUGACGCUCAUGUGCGAAAGCGUGGGGAGCAAACAGG
rnacentral:rRNA from 1 species